rnacentral:rRNA from 1 species
UCCUUUUUUAUCAAUCGUUGUUCGGAUUUACUGGGCGUAAAGGGCGCGUAGGCGGCGCAACAAGUCACUUGUGAAAUCUCCGGGCUUAACUCGGAACGGUCAAGUGAUACUGUUGUGCUAGAGUGCGGAAGGGGCAACUGGAAUUCUCGGUGUAGCGGUGAAAUGCGUAGAUAUCGAGAGGAACACCUGCGGCGAAGGCGGGUUGCUGGGCCGACACUGACGCUGAUGCGCGAAAGCCAGGGGAGCGAACGGG